AGGAGUAGGAGGAGUAGAAGGUGAAGUAGAGGGAGGAGUAGGAGGAGGAGAAGGUGGAGUUGAGGGAGGAGAAGGUGGAGUAGAAGGUGAAGUAGAGGGAGGAGUAGGAGGAGGAGAAGGUGGAGUAGAGGGAGGAGAAGGUGGAGUAGAAGGAGGAAUAGGAGGAGUAGGAUUGAAUAAGGGGAGGAGGGAGGAGGAGGAGAAGGUGGAGUAGGAGGAGGGGAAGGUGGAGUGGGAGGGAGGAAUAGGAGGAGUGGAAGGUGAAGUAGAGGGAGGAGUAGGAGGAGGAGAAG